UACGUAGGGUGCGAGCGUUGUCCGGAAUUAUUGGGCGUAAAGAGCUUGUAGGUGGUUUGUCGCGUCUGCUGUGAAAAUCCGAGGCUCAACCUCGGACUUGCAGUGGGUACGGGCAGACUAGAGUGUGGUAGGGGAGACUGGAAUUCCUGGGUGUAGCGGUGGAAUGCGCAGAUAUCAGGAGGAACACCGAUGGCGAAGGCAGGUCUCUGGGCCAUUACUGACACUGGAGAAGCGAAA
rnacentral:rRNA from 1 species